rnacentral:rRNA from 1 species
UAGAGUUUGAUCCUGGCUCAGAUUGAACGCUGGCGGCAUGCUUUACACAUGCAAGUCGAACGGCAGCGCGGGCUUCGGCCUGGCGGCGAGUGGCGAACGGGUGAGUAAUAUAUCGGAACGUACCCAAGAGUGGGGGAUAACGUAGCGAAAGUUACGCUAAUACCGCAUACGAUCCAAGGAUGAAAGCAGGGGACCGCAAGGCCUUGUGCUCCUGGAGCGGCCGAUAUCUGAUUAGCUAGUUGGUGAGGUAAAGGCUCACCAAGGCAACGAUCAGUAGCUGGUCUGAGAGGACGACCAGCCACACUGGAACUGAGACACGGUCCAGACUCCUACGGGAGGCAGCAGUGGGGAAUUUUGGACAAUGGGGGCAACCCUGAUCCAGCAAUGCCGCGUGAGUGAAGAAGGCCUUCGGGUUGUAAAGCUCUUUUGUCAGGGAAGAAAAGGGAGUGGCUAAUAUCCAUUCCUGCUGACGGUACCUGAAGAAUAAGCACCGGCUAACUACGUGCCAGCAGCCGCGGUAAUACGUAGGGUGCAAGCGUUAAUCGGAAUUACUGGGCGUAAAGCGUGCGCAGGCGGUUUCGUAAGUCUGUCGUGAAAUCCCCGGGCUUAACCUGGGAAUGGCGAUGGAGACUGCGAGGCUAGAGUUUGGCAGAGGGGGGUAGAAUUCCACGUGUAGCAGUGAAAUGCGUAGAGAUGUGGAGGAACACCGAUGGCGAAGGCAGCCCCCUGGGUCAAAACUGACGCUCAUGCA